rnacentral:lncRNA from 12 species
UAUUAUAAGUUACUCUUCAACAGACCUGUUGAUUUAUAAAACAAUUUGCUUCUGUUGAAUGAUUUCUUUAAGAUAAAUUCUCAUUAAAACAGUGAUUAGGUUAGAGGGAAUAAAUACCUUUAUGGUUUUGUUAUAGACUAGGCAUUAAUGUUUAAUUUUUAUUCAGUAUAUUUUAAGUAUUUUUCCUAUUUUAUUUUCUCUAACACAGAUACUACAUGUUCCUCACACCAUUUCCAAGAAAUGGCAUUUCAAAGGCAAAUGUGUUGUUCUCACAAAGAACUUGAGACUGAGCAGAUACAAAGAAGAAUCCAGAGAAGUUCACCCACUUGCUAAAACGGAAUGCCCAUCAGCGAGCAAACUGAGAGGGUAUGCAGAUUCUUUGGAGUCUGGUGAGUAUUCAUGUUCAUAUUUGUUUAAAGGCUAUAGGUAAGACUGUUGACAGGGAUGUGUGCUUGUGGGGCACAGGUAGCCAGCACUGGAUCCAGGCUGACUGCAUGGUGAUUGUGUAGGAUGGACCUUCUAGGUUACCUACCUCCCAGUUUCUAUGAAGGGACAGAAGUGAGUUGUGACUAAACUGGGUGGUAGAGACCAGACAUAGUAGAGUAGUUACAAAGUAAUGGAUGGGUUUGGUUUGCUUUAUAAGGGAAGUGUUACUAUUUUGUACAGAAGCUGCUAACGUGGGCAACCUCUGACACAAUAUAUUCCAAAACGCAAAUUCAUAUUUUGAAAAGGCUUUUAUAGUUUAGGCUCUGUAUGUACUGCUCUACUUGUGAGAGUUGCAUGCCUUUUAUUUUGUAUCUAGCAGCAAAGCCUACAAUAAAACUUUGAAACAAAACA